ACUCAGUCUGUUAGCCAAACUUCUAGUUGUUGUUAGUAAUAGUUAAUAUAGUGUAAUAUUUGUGAUGUUUUAUGUGUGUUGGGUUACUGAUAUGUUAAAAGAGAGGAGAAGUUUUUUGUUUUGUUUAUUAUGGUUUCAACGUUGCACAUGUAUGUUGAAGAUGAUGGUGAUGAUGAAAACUACCUGUUCAUAAGCCUUAUAAACCUUUAAGCACUUAUACUUAAACAAUUUGACAGGUAUGGUGUAAGUGUGUGUGUGUAUAUGUGUGUGAGAGAGUAUGCAUAAGAGUCUAAGUAUAGGCCAAACAAAAAAAAAACAAACUGAAAAUAAACAUGAUAUGGCGGUUGAACGGCGUACAGACAGACAGACUUUAACAGCUUCAAUAUAUGGACUUGUAAAGUAAAAUGGGCAUGCCAACGACAUCAGUACGUAAAUGACCGUGCAACAAACGUGUGUGUUUUUAUUUUUAACAAAAAAAUAAAACAUUUUUAACAAAAAAACAACAACAACUGAUGUCUUAAAGAAAAAAAUCACAAUAGUGACCAUUUGUGUUCAAAAAAAAUCACAAUAAUGAAGAUAAUUAAAGCUUUGUGACAAAUUUUAUACAAAAAAACUUUAACUAACCUCUAUUUUUGAGUGUAUUUAAAUCAAUACCUAUUUUUUAAAUGUAAAAAAUACAUAAAAAACUUAAAAACUAAACAUGUGAUAAUUUUCCUAGAAAUGAAACCAAUCUAUUGAAAA